rnacentral:rRNA from 1 species
UUGGUUGAUCCUGCCAGUAGUGUAUGCUUCUCCUAAAGACUAAGCCAUGCAUGCCUUCGAAUACGAGGAAGCAAUUCUCUCUGAAUCUGCGAACGGCUCCGCAAACCAGUUGUAAACUAUAGCAAGCAGGCUUGGGGUCGGCUCUCACGGGUUGGCUUCGGGCGAUAUGGAUAACCCUGGUAAUUCUGAGGCUAAUACAUGAACGUAAAACCUGGUUGACUGGGCUUCGGUCUGGGAGGCUGGGGGAUGUGUGAUUGCAGGCUUGGGUAACACCGGGAAAGGGCGCACGUCCAGACCGCGCUAUAAAGGAUGGGACCUCUUCGGGGGACCCGCCCCAGCGGCUCUUGCUGUGUGCUUCUGACCUAUCAACUAGACGGCAGCGUAAGGGACAUGCUAUGGUGACAACGGGUACAGAGGAUUAGGGUUCGAUCCUGGAGAGUGGGCCUGAGAGAUUGCUCAUACUUNUAAGGAAGGCAGCAGG